ensembl:lncRNA
AUGGAUGUUCAGCAACACCAGUAAGAGGCUGAUAGACACAAUCAAGGGAAUCACUGCGCUAAACAUUUUGAAUACUCUCUACAUUGAAUGUAGAAAAUCAUCCUCGCCUUUGGGGGAAACGGGGGCAUAGCGCUCCAAGCGGCAGGAACCACAACCAUCCGAGCAGCCGGGCCUGGGGGCUCCUGCAAAGGCACUUGCUCUGAAUGGAGGCGCUCGCUCUGCCCGGUGCAAUAGAGUUUCACAUAUUUUUCAACUGGGAGAGAGAAGCUGAUUUUUCCUUCCCGCAGAGCAAGCUUGAUCCCUAAACAACCAUAGAUCAGUUAUCCUAUGACAAUACUAGGUGUCAGGCUCUCUUGGAAUAAGAUCAAAGUGUCCUUAUCACUUUGAUUCCUACUUUCGUUUUUAACCAAUCUACACUUUUCAGUGGCCGAGAGAAGCAAAGGGACAAUACUGUGUGCGGCACAAGGCCCAGGAGGCUCCUGGUCCCCCCGGGCCAAAGAGAGAUCCAGCCACCCGUGCCGAGCCAGACGUGGCUGGAGCGGCCGUGCAGGGGCAGCCAAGGCCGUGCAGGGACAGCUGGGAGAACCUUUGUCCUUCACAGGUUUUUCUACCGUGUUUUUGCUGGAGAAGGACAGGUGACUGUGCUAGCUUUCUCUUGUCCGAUAUGAAUUAUUUAGAUUUCCAAGGCAUUUUCUUGAUAAACAAAAAGGCUAUUUUUAAGUACUGAGAGAAGGAGGAGGCCAUGAGAGGAUAUGCGGGAAUUCCCAAAGCUCUUUGUAGGUAGGGCCAGAGUGGGGCAUUUGCUCUAAUUUUUUCUAUGUGCAGAAUAGAGGAUCUCUCCUGGGUGGGGGUGAGGGCCCCCAUUUUAUUUUUUAAAAAAUGUAACUCCUGGACAGCCCCAUGAAGAGCUGUGCCUCGUGGAGGUGUCAAAGAAGAUUCUGUUCUAGGAGACCAGUUCUGGCUCAUGACACCAGUCCGGCUCCCUCCAUGAGUUUCCAUUCCAGGGCAAGAAGAGAGCCGCCGCCACUGCGCUGUUUAGUUGAAGUUGGUACCAAAUACGCAUUCGCCAUUUUUCUAUCCGGGAAGUCAACUUGCCAUCAUUUCAUGAUAAAAACCAUUUCUAAGGAGAAAAGGACAGGACAUGCUUUCCAUCUUUCGGUAUUCGAUGACACGAAAUUCCAAUUCUACUGUCGGGCAUCGACUUCUAGCACUGCAAGUGUGGCCCCCACUUGGACAAGAUACCGAGCUUCGUUAUGCAGUUUUUAAUAUUAUUUAUUCUUUUAAAAAGUAAUAAGCACAAAACUACAUACAUUGUAUGUCAUUUAAAGUAUUUAUGUCAAACAGGGUGCAAGUGUGAACCCAAGGACUGGAGCACAAAUUUCUAACUGCCUGGGGCAGGGCCGAUGUUAGCGCUGGUGAGCGUCUGCCUCCAAAGGAGGUGUUAGCGGUCAGCAAGACUCAACACAGAUGACAUUGCAAUUCCGUUUCUCCUCAUUUAUCACACUGGAGCAAAACUGGCUAUUUCUGUGAAUGAUAUAAAACAGGGUUCUCUGUAAUGGUAUUGUACAUAGUAUAUGUUUAUUGUUAAGUUCUUGUUAUAUUAUAAUAAAUAUAUUUAUAGAUCUAGACUCA